UAAAUUCUAAAAAUGCAGAUAUCAUUGCGAAAAAUGAAAGCAUACAUCUUAUUAAAUGGAGGGCUCCUUUUCUCCCAGCUUCGACUUUCUCCUUGGUAUCCAAAAGAUUCUCAAGCUGAGGUGGCAAAUAAGUUUGUUCAGAUGCAAGCUGAGGUAUGCUGCAAAAGGAUAUCACUUUUUGUUAGCAAGGUUUAUCAACUAAUUUUUUGGAAUAACCUGGCCUCAUUUCAUUCUUAUUUAUUUAUUGGACACUUCAGGAAAAUGCAUUGAUCAAGUGAAAUAAAAAUACAUCAUCACAUGCUCAGUGAAAUAAAAAUGCAUCUGUGUACACAGAAAUGUGUCUUCAAUUCAUUUCGGUUAGUAAAUUCUAAAAUGCAGAUAUCAUUGCGAAAAAUGAAAGCAUACAUCUUAUUCGGUGGAGGGCUCCUUUUCUCCUGGCUUUGACUUUCUCCUUGGUAUCCGAAAGAUUCUCAAGCUGAGGUGACUCCUAAUGGGUGAAUUAGCUUGUUUUUGUUGAAUCUUGUAUGUGUAUCACUGACAUAUUUUUCAAUGGUCAUACACUGCUUGCACUGUUUUAGACAACAAGCCUCUGCUCUCCACCCCUGCUUGUGCAUGAUAAGAUGAUAGUAUUAUGCCUUCCCAACUGGGACAUGAUUUCUUUCUUCGUCUCUCAAUGUUUUUAGAUUUUUGUUUGUACGUAAAAGCUGAAAUGGCACCCUCAAAGUAGAGAAGGACCAUGUAACUUUGGAUGUGACCACUAAUAAAACAGAAUAUGUUAAAAGAAUAUAUUAACAUACAUAAAAGACUGAAACGGUAAAAUAAUAUCAUUUUUGUUGUUUCUACUUUUCUUCUAGCAUAGACAACCAAAUAAGAUCAAAUAUCCACCUACAGUGUAAAGAAUACGAAGUUGAAGUUGUCACGGAGCAGUGAGAACCGAUACUCAGAUCAUAAGUAAGAUGACAUAUGCCAGUUAUAUGUAAAGUUUAGCUUUAAUGGCAACCACAAAUCUACUGUGAGUGCAUCUGUUCAUUGAUGUUAUGUAGCUUUCAACUAAUAACAAAAAUAUGGAGAUAAGAUUGUAC
rnacentral:lncRNA from 1 species